AGAGUUUGAUCAUGGCUCAGAUUAAACGCUGGCGGCAUGCCUUACACAUGCAAGUCGAACGGUAGCGCGGGGCAACCUGGCGACGAGUGGCGAACGGGUGAGUAAAGCAUCGGAACGUGCCCUGGAAUGGGGGAUAACGUAGCGAAAGUUACGCUAAUACCGCAUAUUCUGUGAGCAGGAAAGCAGGGGAUCGCAAGACCUUGCGUUCUGGGAGCGGCCGAUGUCGGAUUAGCUAGUUGGUGGGGUAAAGGCCUACCAAGGCGACGAUCCGUAGCGGGUCUGAGAGGAUGAUCCGCCACACUGGGACUGAGACACGGCCCAGACUCCUACGGGAGGCAGCAGUGGGGAAUUUUGGACAAUGGGCGGAAGCCUGAUCCAGCCAUGCCGCGUGAGUGAAGAAGGCCUUCGGGUUGUAAAGCUCUUUCGGCGGGGAAGAAAUUGCACGGGUUAAUACCCUGUGUAGAUGACGGUACCCGAAUAAGAAGCACCGGCUAAUUACGUG
rnacentral:rRNA from 1 species